ACAUUUGUUGGAUGGAGUUUUGCUGUUGGAUUUUUGCUUGCUCUCACCCUGUUACACUGACUUCAUGGAUCAUUCCAAGAAGUUUUUCCCAGUCUGGAAUAAUUUUGAUGCCAAAUAAGGGCAAUCUUUUUCUCCUUCGGGUGACGUGUCGGCUCUGCGCCACAGAGCUAUCCUACGUCAAUAAGAGAACUUCAAUGGCUGAGGCAUUAUAGAGCUCGGAUGGCAAUGAAGAAUUGGCAGAUACUCAUGUGAGUACCCCAGCCUUGCAGUUCGUAACAAGCAAGCAGUGGAUGAGGCUGUGGUCAACAUGAUCAAAGACUGCCAACCACUCACCAUUGUUGAAAAUGAGGGAUUCAGGGAAAGCAUCAACUCGCACUUAAAUAUUUAUGCUCACCAUCUUCAUCUGUACCCUGUGAAAUAGUUUUUUCUAAAGGCAGGGGAACUGGUGUCUAAGGAGAAAUCCCCUUGGAGCAAAGACACUUUAAAAAAUAAAUAAAUAAAUUUGUUCUCAAU